UUGCAGCCAGUUAAGCUGACCUAGUUCAUUCUACACAGAGGCUUAGUGAGCUAAGGCUGCAGAUAGUGGCCUCCUUGAGAGUGCAUGCAGCCUACUGCCUAGACAGGGGCCCUAAAAUGACUGAUAGACAAUU